rnacentral:lncRNA from 1 species
GAGGGAGAGAGAGAGGAUAUUUUCAGCGAAACAGUUAAAUUGUUAUUAAACUGUUACCCUUUUUUAGUUUCUUUUUAAGGGCCUCCUGGGAUUCAUUGAAAUGGUCACAAAUCGACCUUCAGGGAGGAAGGUGUAAGCCGAGGAACCGGCCGCCGCCUGGGGGCAGAAUUCUGGAAGUCAGUAAAAAUGGCCAUCCAGUUUUCCAGCAGGAAAUGUUGAGGACAUCUCGGACACAGGAGGAGGUCCUGCCUCAAAAGCAGGAAACUCCCAGAAACAACUAGGCCGGGAAAUAACAAUGGGGGAAGGGAGCAGGGAGGGAGGAAGGAAGGCAGAAGUUUGGUCCAGCACUGGGUGUCACAAAGAGCCUUUCUUACUCAAGCAGGCCCAGUUUUCCACAAAACCCACAAAUUAGGCAUCAGUAGGCAUCUGUUUGGUCAG